rnacentral:rRNA from 1 species
GUGGGGAAUCUUGCGCAAUGGGCGAAAGCCUGACGCAGCCAUGCCGCGUGGAUGAUGAAGGUCUUAGGAUUGUAAAAUCCUUUCACCGGUGAAGAUAAUGACUGUAGCCGGAGAAGAAGCCCCGGCUAACUUCGUGCCAGCAGCCGCGGUAAUGCGAAGGGGGCUAGCGUUGCUCGGAUUUACUGGGCGUAAAGGGCGCGUAGGCGGACAUUUAAGUCAGGGGUAAAAUCCCGGGGCUCAACCUCGGAACUGCCUUUGAUACUGGGUGUCUUGAGUAUGAGAGAGGUGUGUGGAACUCCGAGUGUAGAGGUGAAAUUCGUAGAUAUUCGGAAGAACACCAGUGGCGAAGGCGACACACUGGCUCAUUACUGACGCUGAGGCGCGAAAGCGUGGGGAGCAAACAGGAUUAGAAACCCUUGUAGUCC